rnacentral:lncRNA from 1 species
AAGGUGAGUUGUGUCAUAAUCUUAAAAAGACCCCAAAAAAUUGUCAAACUAUUUCGCUAAUGAUUCCGAGAAACACCCAGCCGACAGUUGAUGCACUUGCACCCAAAAGAGACCGUUGUUGAUAUCGACUGCGGUUGUGUCCUCACCAUCAUUUAAUCGAUGCCAAACCAGAAAGUGGUUGUUAAAUAUCUAAAGGUUGUCUGUCAUGACCCUCUGUAUAUCCACUUCAUAGAAAAAAUAAAAUAAAAA